UACUAGCUCAUCAUGCAUUUAACCAUCCACUCAGCUUUAAGAGCUGUUCAGAUUAAAACUGGCAGCUCAGCAGUGAGUCAGUGUCAUGGAUGGAGGACCUGUUCAUAUUUUUUUCUAGUUUAAUGAGCUCAUCGGGGAGUGUUUCUGUAAAUUCUGCGUGUUUUAAUUAGCGCGCUGAAGAUUGGAGUAGCGUUCAUUCAGAUUCUAACACUGGAGCGGAGGGAGUUGGCAUGGAAACGGGCGAUCGACAAGACUGGCAAGCUGCAGCUCUGUUUCUCGCUGCUGUUUUCACUGAUUUCGAUUCUUCUAGUGCUUGAUGAUCUUCUGCAUCCCAUGAUGAGCAAACCUCCUGUCCAACAACAUCUCCAAGGCACACUGAUCCAUAUGACUAUCAGCGAAAAAUACAUCCUGGACCAAAGAGGAAACUGACAACACACUGACAGAAGAAGACAGAGAAGGUCACUUCUGAUCACUGUAGUGUCUCAGUUCAAGCAGCACACAUGAACCGAUUGAUUCAUAUUUAAUUGAAGCACAAAAUAAAAGAUGUCACACGUCUUUAUACAACAUUUUUCAAGUUUAAGUCCACCGAAGUUAAUCUACUUUCCUGUCUACCAUAUUUUCUGCAUCAUAAGGUGCACUGGAUUAUAAGGCACAGUCUCAAACUAUCCCUCAAAGUCCUCAUCUUCUGUGUCUGAAUUGAACAGCUGGGCAACAGCUUUUGAACAGCUUUCUUCAUCAAACAUGCCGGGUUCCCUCUCAUCAUGGUUGAUCGCUGCCAGUGUACGUAGUGUACGUAUUACGUCCCUGUGUCAGCGGGAAAUGGUGCGACAGUCAGCCUCGCGUGUGGAGACUUCAGAAGAUGCCAGACCUCACAUAGGUUUCAGAUGAUGGAAACUAUAGAUGAACAUGCAAAGCUGCUAAAUAAUCCUUAUAUUGUAAUCAUUGCCCUAAAAGGUAAGUUUUCAGGGUGAUUUAAGGUGUGCUCCUACAUUUUCUGCUUGUAUUCCUAUGUAUUUAUUCGAUAAGACGUGUGCAUUUUCGAUUCUGCUUAACGAUUCUAGCUUUCAAAUUCCAAUUUGAUUAAAAACGAUUAAGUGCAGGAAUGGAAAGAAUUAGCGUCCUGUUUGUGUGCAGCGUGCAUGAAGCGCAAGCUCGUGCACAGAGAGCAGCAGUCGCGCUGUGGGUUCUUGGUUUGUGUCCGUUCUUGGACUGUUCCGUGUAUUUCCACUGUAGAAAAGGUUGUUCAGAGUCUAAACUGACUUCUUUCAUAUUUGUCAAGCAAUAAACAGAAAACUACAUCAGUAUAUCAUCAUAAACACAGCCGUUUUCGUCUUACGUGAACGUAAACAGAUGAGAAAGAAAACCAUUCACUGAUCUUGACUGAAUAUA